UAGGGAAUCUUCCACAAUGGACGCAAGUCUGAUGGAGCAACGCCGCGUGAGUGAAGAAGGUUUUCGGACCGUAAAGCUCUGUUGUUGGUGAAGAAGGAUAGAGGUAGUAACUGGCCUUUAUUUGACGGUAAUCAACCAGAAAGUCACGGCUAACUACGUGCCAGCAGCCGCGGUAAUACGUAGGUGGCAAGCGUUGUCCGGAUUUAUUGGGCGUAAAGCGAGCGCAGGCGGAAGAAUAAGUCUGAUGUGAAAGCCCUCGGCUUAACUGAGGAAUUGCAUCGGAAACUGUUUUCUUGAGUGCAGAAGAGGAGAGUAGAACUCCAUGUGUAGCGGUGGAAUGCGUAGAUAUAUGGAAGAAUACCAGUGGCGAAGGCGGCUCUCUGGUCUGCAACUGACGCUGAGGCUCGAAAGCAUGGGUAGCGAACAGGAUUAGAUACCCUGGUAGUCCAUGCCGUAAACGAUGAGUGCUAAGUGUUGGGAGGCUUCCGCCUCUCAGUGCUGCAGCUAACGCAUUAAGCACUCCGCCUGGGGGAGUACGACCGCAAGGUUGAAAC
rnacentral:rRNA from 1 species